UUAAAUGUAUUGAUGAGGACAAGAGUAUUCCUUUACGGUUCCCAGAGAGGAAAGAAAUGGUGAAAGCUUUCCAACACGAAUUGAGUACUUACCACCUCUAAACUUCAACUGCGAACGUUUAAACUAUUAGUAGUUGACGGACACAUUCCGUUAUAAUGAUCCGAAGUCAUAUCAUCACAUUGAUAUGAAAACUUAGGGUGGAACCACGUGUAUAUAACUCGUCCCUUUC
rnacentral:ncRNA from 1 species